rnacentral:rRNA from 1 species
UUUUUUAAUUAAAAACUUGUAUGAAUGGCUUAAUGAGGUAUUUUCUGUUUCAUAUAAAAUUAAUGAAUUUAUUUUUUAGUAAAAAAACUAAAAUAAAUUAAAAAGACGAGAAGACCCUAUAGAUCUUUAUAACUAAAUUAAUUUUUAUAUAUUAAUAAAUUUAAAUUUUAAUUUAAUUAGUUAAUUAAUUGGGGUGAUUAUAAUAUUUAUAUAACUAUUUAAUUAAAUAAUCAAUAAUUUUUGUUUAUAUUGAUCUUUUAUUAAGGAUUAAUAAUUUUAGUUACCUUAGGGAUAACAGCGUAAUAUUUUUUAAAGUUCUUAUUAAAGAAAAAGUUUGC